AUACUUACCUGGCAGGGGAGAUACCAUGAUCACGAAGGUGGUUUUCCCAGGGCGAGGCUUAUCCAUUGCAGUCCGGAUGUGCUGACCCCUGCGAUUUCCCCAAAUGUGGGAGGAAACUCGACUGCAUAAUUUGUGGUAGUGGGGGACUGCGUUCGCGCUUUCCCCUG
rnacentral:snRNA from 1 species